AAUUCCUUGUCGGGUAAGUUCCGACCUGCACGAAUGGAGUAACGAUUUCCCUACUGUCUCCACCAUGAACUCGGUGAAAUUGCAUUACGAGUAAAGAUGCUCGUUACGCGCAGCAGGACGGAAAGACCCCGGGACCUUUACUAUAGUUUGGUAUUGGUGAUUGGGACGGUUUGUGUAGGAUAGGUGGGAGACGUUGAUGCGGCCACGCUAGUGGUGGUGGAGUCGUUGGUGAAAUACCACUCUGAUUGUUCUGGUUAUCUCACUGUGGACCGUGAUCCGGUUCAAGGACAGUGCCUGAUGGGUAGUUUGACUGGGGCGGUCGCCUCCUAAAGG
rnacentral:rRNA from 1 species